UUCCACUAAUUCUUCUUUUUAUUUCUUUCGUCUUCCUAAACAUCUAUACAUUCUAAUGCAAUGCUUUUCUUCCAUUCCUUUGUCAGGAAAAUUCCAUAUGAAUUCGUUCUUUUCUCCAAAGUAACACGAAAAUACCAGAAAAUCGCCUCACCUUCCAAACCGAAGCUGUUUUGCAUAACCAACCCCGAUUGGACCGGUUCACGUAACCUGCCUAGUAAAGGAAUGCACCGUGAGAAGAACAGUAUUCUUAUAGCCGUUUUCAGGACAACGAAGGCUAAACUUUUAAACUUAGGGCGAAAGGAAGGUUUUUGCGUCUAUAAACUAGCUAGAUUUUACAUCAUUGGCAAAUAUUCUUGGGAAUAAAAUUGAAAUUGUGUAACUAAUUCGAAAGGAUUUUUUCGCUGAAAAUAUCUCUUAGGACAAAUUAUAUAUCGUAAAUAUGUGUCUGAACCAUAGAAAAUUUUUCAAUUGCAUUUAUUAUCGAUUUUUAUCGAUUUAUUAUUUAUUUCUUAUCGAUUUUUUGGUUGUGUUCCAAAUAUUUGAGGCAAAUGUAUAGAUAAUGCUAGUGUAAAAACGCCGGAAUUCCGUCGUCUAUAUUUAUUACCGAUAAGCUAUCUACGAUAAAGCAUCCAAAAGCAGGCUCGUCUUAUAUGCAUUCACACUUUCACACUGAUUAAUUUUUUUCUACUCAAUUAACAGUGGUGCUUUUAAGCUUUAAUAUUGAAAUUUUACUAUUUUACUUGAACACACGCUAUAAUAUAAUAUUCGAAUCAUACACUACGAGUAAAUUUAAUAAACAAUUAUUUGAAAAAAUGAUAAAUUUCGUCUAUAAUUCGUGUUAAACCGGUACAGUUCCAUUAUUUUUAUAAUUUCCGUGUCCAUUUAGCGCUUUUCAAUUAUUCGAUAAAAUAUAGAUAUAAAUAUCGAUAAUAUAAAUACGAUAAAAAUAUUAGGUCGUCCCAUAAGUUCGUUCCGUUUUUCGAGCCGUUAUAUAUGUUAAGAUCGUUUACAUACCUUUCAGUUUCAUGAAAAAAUGUAAUCCCUCUCUCGUUCUACAACUUCUUCCCAUUUUUCAAGCGCAUUGGUCCCUUAUCGCCGUAUGUUUAUAAAUCGACGCAUGAAAUGUAUACACAAAAGUUGGCACGAACUUAUGGGAUGACCUAAUAUUAGGACGAAACAGAAUAAAAUAAUCAACAGCGAAAAUGGCCACGUUAAUAUUUACAAUGGUUUCCAUAUAUACUUAUAAGAAAGUUAUUUUACUGUCUACGAAGUAUAAUUAACGAUUUCUUUACGGCAACCG
rnacentral:misc_RNA from 1 species